rnacentral:rRNA from 1 species
UGCUCCAAUGGAUGGUACAACGAGCAGCAAGACCGCGAGGUCAAGCGAAUCUCUUAAAGCCAUUCUCAGUUCGGAUUGCAGGCUGCAACUCGCCUGCAUGAAGCCGGAAUCGCUAGUAAUCGCGGAUCAGCACGCCGCGGUGAAUACGUUCCCGGGUCUUGUACACACCGCCCGUCACACCACGAGAGUUUGUAACACCCGAAGUCGGUGAGGUAACCUUUUUGGAGCCAGCCGCCUAAGGUGGGACAGAUGAUUGGGGUGAAGUCGUAACAAGGUAACC